GAUGAACGCUAGCUACAGGCUUAACACAUGCAAGUCGAGGGGCAUCGGGAAGAAAGCUUGCUUUCUUUGCCGGCGACCGGCGCACGGGUGAGUAACACGUAUCCAACCUGCCCUUUACUCGGGGAUAGCCUUUCGAAAGAAAGAUUAAUACCCGAUAGCAUAAUGAUUCCGCAUGGUUUCAUUAUUAAAGGAUUCCGGUAAAGGAUGGGGAUGCGUUCCAUUAGGUUGUUGGUGAGGUAACGGCCCACCAAGCCUUCGAUGGAUACGGGGUUCUGAGAGGAACGGUCCCCCACAUUGGAACUGAGACACGGUCCAA
rnacentral:rRNA from 1 species